CGAACGGAGGGAUGCUUUGGGGGACGUCGGAGACGCCGUCGCACGGCGACAAACAGCCGGACUCCGAGGACACGGCGGCGGGCUCUGUGGUCUCGGGGCUGCUGCCGGCGACGGAGAGGAGCCGGCGGGAGCGCCCCCCGAGCCCGCCGCUGCCGCCGCCGAGUAAUCCUGGCACUUGACUACUCUAUGGAAACAACUUGUCAUGCCUGCAUUGUGGAAAUGGUGUUCACAAUGAAAUGCACAGCAUACAAGCUGAAGCAGCACUCAUAGUUGUUGGUGUUUCAGGGAGAACAUUUGUUAUGUUAAAUACAAGAUAUCUUUGUUGGGUUGCUUUCUGCCUUAAUGUCAGUCGAUACAUUGGAAGUUAUCGAGAAGAUCAAAUUCUGAUGAAGAAGGAAGAAUUGACCCUUGAAAUGGUUGAUAUUUUAUAAUAUUUUAAUAAAGGGUGGUGACAGAAAGAGACAUUAUCAAGAAGGAAUUUGGAUAAGGCACAAACCAAAUUUUGAUUACUACCGACUUACUGAAUUGGCAGUGGAGGUCAAUAUGGGAGGAAAUCUGUGGCCAUAAACAUUAAAGAAGACAAGUGGACAAGUGGAUUCUUGGUGACAUUGAGACUUUCUACAAUACAGUGGAAGAAUUACCAAUGAAUGCGGCUAACUGCACUCGCUGUUAUGGACUAGGUGAUGACAACGUGCAUUGUGCUUUUUCUUUGGGAAUAUUUGAAGCUUGUCUAAAGCUCAUGACCUAUCAAAAAUACAGAUUUUGAUAAUAAUGCUACUCUCUUACUUAUGAGCUCAUAUGAGAAAAGUCAUUGACUUUAUCUUCUUUAAAAUUAGAAUACUGGGAAUAAAAGCCUUUAAAGAUUUGGCCUAUAGAGUAAAUUUCAAAAUGGGAAACAACACUGGUCCUAUAAUGAGAUGUAAAUCAUAUCACCAACAUUAAUCUUCUCCUGGUGAGUUCAAUUCCCUGUAGCAGCAUAGAAAGGAAAAGAAAAUAUUGGAACUGAGAGUAAUAAAAUGAAUACAACAGGCAAAAAAAAAAAAAAAUAGAAUACUGGAGUUGGAUAUGAAAGGUGAGGCUGUAAAAAUCAUUCUUAGAAGUUUAUUUCCUAGUUCUAUAAAAAGGGUUAUAUUGAGUGUUCUCUGUCAUUUAAUACUAUACUUGUGGACUGGACAAUAUGUGCUGUAUAAAAGCAGCCAAUUCUAUUAAACUAGUGUAACUGCUUUUAUAGUGUGGUCAUUAGACUGAACAGAACAAACUUGAAAAUGAUUUCUUUAAAGAAAGUAUUUUAAUUCAUUUUGUGUGGUAGUUUUGGUUUUGGUUAAACAAUCUUUUUUUUUUUCUUUUGGUAAAACAAUCUUUUUAAAAAUAUUUUAUUUAUUUGUGUGAGAGAAAGAAAAAGCACAAGUGAGGGGGGACAGAGGGAGAAACAGAUUCCCCAGUGAGCAUGGAGCCUGACAUGGGGCUUGAGAUCAUGACCUGAGCUGAAGUCAGACACUCCAUGGACUGAGCCACGCAGGUACCCUGCCCUGGACCCUUUUGCUAAGCACCAUCAGUAAUCAUACCCUAGGACUGAAUUAAAAAAAAAAAAAAAAAAAAAAAAAACAAAAACCCUGCCAUAUUGCUUAUUGAAUGAAUACUGAAUAAAUUAUAGUAAAGACUAUUUUUCUUUAAAGUUGUUUGGUCCUAGGAUGCCUGGGUGGCUCAGCGGUUAAGUGCCUGCCUUCAGCUCAGGGCAUGAUCCCGGAGUCCCGGGAUCGAAUCCCACAUCGGGCUCCCUGUAUGGAGCCUGCUUUUCCCUCUGCCUAUGUCUCUGCCUUUCUCUCUCUCUUGCUCUCUUUCUGUCUUUCAUGAAUAAAUAAAAUCUUAAA